ensembl:lncRNA
GGCUGAUCUCAAACUCCUGACCUCAAGUGAUCCACCUGCCUCAGCCUCCCAAAGUACUAGGAUUAUAGGAGUGAGCCACCGUGCCUGUCUGUACUCUGGCUAUUUUAAGUUCUAUAACCUUAAUUACGUCUGCCAAGUCCCUUUUGCAAUGCAACAUGACAUAUUUACAAGAUGCAGGGAUUAGGGCAUCUUUGAGGGGCCAUUAUCCUGCCUACCAAGGAUCGGUAGACUUUACAUCUGCUGAGCCAUGCCAGAGGGCUCUUCAGCAAGUGGGAGUGGGAAGAACAAAAUUGUAGAGGCAGUAAACCACAUGGAUGGGGCAGUGGGAACAGCCAGCCUUGCCUGGGGUGCUAACCAGCUAGUUUCCUCCAAAUGAUGAGAUAUGUGUGUAAGCUCUUUGCACAGAGUAAGACCUUCUGAACCAGAGAAAGGCAGCCACAGAUUCCUGUCCUAGGGCAUGUAGGCGUUCCCUGCUGCUCAUCUCAAUUCUGCCAAGGAGAUUGCUGUGGUAGCAUUUCUACACUUCCUGUGUACACCCUGUUCCUCCAGAUGUAACAAUGUAGAGCCAAGCACCUUCAACAAAUAAAAUUUAUUUACUAUUACAUAUUUGUUGCACAAAGUACUGACAAAUCAGAGGAAGAAUAUAAUAAUUGCCCAUAAUCCGGACACUCAGAACAACUGUUAACACUGGUGUUUUAUGAGGUGCCUUUAAGAGACAGCUUUCCAUGUCUGUUCAUGUUCUUUCUUAAUGGUAUUUUCUAUUGUAUGGAUGGCACCAUAGUUUAUUUAAUGGACAUUUGGCUUGCUCCCAAGUGGUUUUGCUAUCAUAAACAUGGUUGAGAUAGCAUAACAAGAGUUGUUUUGACGGUCAUGUUAAACAGGAUGUCAGCAGGCCCUCAGCGGGAAUGCGAAGGGGAACUUGGGGUGGUACAGCUGUGAGGGUGAGUGGCCCCUUUCCUAGUUUCUUCAUCCCAGCCUCUUAGCUAAACCCCUGUGUACUGCUUUGUCAUUAAAUUGGUCCAGCUGCACCAGAGAGCUCGUUGAAUGGUUCACUUAAGAGCUAUGCAUUUCACUAUGUGUAAAUAAUCCUCAAUAUUUUUAAAAAUUAAAUAUGUCAUAGUUCCAAACCAGGAAGAUCUUGCUGUUUUUGUGCACAUUCACAUAAAUGGGAUUGGAUGGAAUAAAAACCAAAAAAAAAAAAAAAAGCACAGAGAGGAGCUGGCUGGGCGUUGGCCUCCAGCAUGGGACGGUAAAGGGAGUAGUUAUUGGGAACAGGCUCAGUUUGGUGAGGAGUGGCCACCACACUGCUUUGACCCUCAGACCCCUCAUUUGCAUGAAGCCCCACCUUGCUGGCUUGUGCUAUGGUGGGGGGUUAAGACCCCAUAUAUAAAAGUCCAGCAUGGCACCUGAGAUGAGACAGGGAGUCAACAUACAGGAGCCAUUCUUGAACCUCCAGGAACUUUUCCAGGGAGGUGCAGCUGGCGCUGGGCUGCUGUGCUCUGUGGUUUCUCCUGUGGGUUGGUGGUGAGUCAGGGGUCCCCUGGGAAGAGCAGAAAGAAGAUAGGCGCUGGAGAUGCUGCUAACUGCUUAUUUCUGAGGGUCAGAAAAACCUCAACUCAGUACAGCUGGGCUGUGCCCUUUCAGGGUGGAGCCGGAGGGUGGAGUUAAGUGGAGAGAACUCUGGAAGUGGGUGAGGCAGGGGCCAGAGGAAACUGGCAAUUCUGCCUGAAGGAGGUGGGCCUAGGGUGCCACGGGAAGAUAUCUUUUUCUUCCCAAAGCAAAAAAAAAAAAAAAAA